rnacentral:rRNA from 1 species
GCCAGCGGCCAUAUCACCCUGCAACUCGCAACUCACAACUCCACUGAGGCUCAGUAGGUGUGAGCCUGGCCAAUACUUGAAUGGGAGACUUCCUGGGAAAAACUAAGGCUGCUGCUGGGC